rnacentral:rRNA from 1 species
AAGAGACAGCAGCCGCCGCGGUAAUACGUAGGUGGCAAGCGUUGUCCGGAAUUAUUGGGCGUAAAGCGCGCGCGGGUGGUUUAAUAAGUCUGAUGUGAAAGCCCACGGCUCAACCGUGGAGGGUCAUUGGAAACUGUUAAACUUGAGUGCAGGAGAGAAAAGUGGAAUUCCUAGUGUAGCGGUGAAAUGCGUAGAGAUUAGGAGGAACACCAGUGGCGAAGGCGGCUUUUUGGCCUGUAACUGACACUGAGGCGCGAAAGCGUGGGGAGCAAACAGGAUUAGAUACCCCCGUAGUCCCUGUCUCUUAUAC